UUAUGGCUCAGGAUGAACGCUGGCGGCGUGCUUAACACAUGCAAGUCGAGCGAAGCACUCUGGAAGAUUCCUUCGGGAUGAUUCCUUAGUGACUUAGCGGCGGACGGGUGAGUAACGCGUGGGCAACCUGCCUUGUACAGGGGGAUAACAGUUAGAAAUGACUGCUAAUACCGCAUAAGCACACAGCAUGGCAUCAUGCAGUGUGAAAAACUCCGGUGGUACAAGAUGGGCCCGCGUUGGAUUAGCUAGUUGGUGGGGUAACGGCCCACCAAGGCGACGAUCCAUAGCCGGACUGAGAGGUCGAACGGCCACAUUGGGACUGAGACACGGCCCAGACUCCUACGGGAGGCAGCAGUGGGGAAUAUUGCACAAUGGAGGAAACUCUGAUGCAAGCGACGCCGCGUGAGUGAUGAAGUAUUUCGGUAUGUAAAGCUCUAUCAGCAGGGAAGAAGACGACGGUACCUGACUAAGAAGCCCCGGCUAACUACGUGCCAGCAGCCGC
rnacentral:rRNA from 1 species